UACGUAGGGGGCAAGCGUUGUCCGGAUUUAUUGGGCGUAAAGAGCGUGUAGGCGGCUGGGUAGGUCUGCUGUGAAAACUCGAGGCUCAACCUCGAGACGUCGGCGGAAACCCUCCAGCUAGAGUCCGGAAGAGGAGAGUGGAAUUCCUGGUGUAGCGGUGAAAUGCGCAGAUAUCAGGAAGAACACCCGUGGCGAAGGCGACUAUCUGGGCAAAUACUGACACUGAGGCACGAAAGCAUGGGGAGCAAACAGG
rnacentral:rRNA from 1 species